CCGGAAGUGCGAUUUAGAAGAAACACCGCAAGUGCGAUUAGGGUCUGCUACUGUGUGUGUGACGCAGCCUCUCCUGCUCCCCAAGAAGCCACCGUGACCUCACGUUCCUCAUUCCUCAGACAGUGCUGGUGUUGACCUGUGUGCCUGAGGUUGUCGCUGUCAAACAAAUCCAGAUGUAUGGAAAGUCAGGAAACUGAGGCCUGGCUCUUCCUCCAGCCUUGAGAAGAGGGGCCCUCCCAGCCAGCUUUGGAGAGGUCAGACAGAUGGGCCUUACCCUGCCAGUGAGCAAGGCCAGCCGGCCAGGGACCUGAGAGUGCCUGCUCCUUAAUGUGCAGGAGCAAACCAAGGACUCAGCCUGGUCUCAGAUUGGCUGAAAGUAGCAUGUUUGUGAAGCACUCUAAGCCUC
rnacentral:lncRNA from 1 species